AGUAUCAAUCAGAGCUUUGUUUUCCUUGUCCUCUUAGGCAUGCAACUCAGCCUCCAUCAUUCUGUCAAUCUCAUCCUCACAAAAUGACCAUUAGAUGAGCCAAUGGUGGUGUCGUGUUCCUUCACUGUUGCAUUGUCUUUAGCAGAGUUGGCAUCAAGAUCAAAUGCUGACCUCAGUCUGCCUACCAGCUCAACUUCACCAAAGAACUUGUUCAUGUUGACCUGGGGGUCAUGGUUGUCAGGGACAGUGGAGAAAACCUGAACAUGGCAACAAGAACAAAUCUACUACUAAGAAAUCAAGUAAGCAAGUUCAUGUUGCAUAUGGAACAGAAGAAGAAGAAGAAGAAGAAGAAGAUGAUGAUGAUGAUGAUGUCAAAAUCUGGAGAUACCACUUCAUCUAAGGGAUAACAUGGUUAAUGAUAUGAUCCAGAAACCAUAUGCUACAUGAGAUAUCAAGAUACAUAAGCAUAUGAGAACAGUUGAAACUUGCAUCUCCCAGAAGAAAAAGAGAGACAAAGAAACAAAUUUCUUGACUCUUCUUUGUUAGAAUAGCUAAUGACAUCUCCCAGAAGAAAAAGAGACAAAGAAACUUGCAUCUCCCAGAAGAAAGUGACAAUGGAGUAACAUCCACAGGAAGACUGCCACCACCCAGGGUUGCAGCUCCCUCCCUCCCCACUGCAACAGUUUCAUCAGGCUCACUCUCUUGCUUGGAUUUCUUCCCUCCCAAGAACUUGGCAGCUCUGCCAGCAUCCAAGCUCACUGGAUUGGGAAUUUGUCUCUGUUCUUUGCUGGCACUCCACAGGCUUUCAGCUGUUCCAACCACUGAGUCUGAUCUAUUUUACCAAGUAUCUGUUGACAAUUCUACAGCAUUAGUAUUUACUUCCAAUAAACAUCUUGUGAGCAUGUAAUCCAACUUAA